GCCUGGGUGGUUCAGUCAGUUGAGCGUCCGACUUCGGCUCAGGUCAUGAUCUCGCGGUUUGUGGGUUCGAGCCCCACAUCAGGCU
rnacentral:tRNA from 1 species